UACGUAGGGGGCAAGCGUUGUCCGGAUUCAUUGGGCGUAAAGAGCUCGUAGGCGGCUUGGCAAGUCGGGUGUGAAAACUUCAGGCUCAACCUGGAGCGGCCACUCGAUACUGCCAUGGCUUGAGUCCGGUAGGGGACCACGGGAAUUCCUGGUGUAGCGGUGAAAUGCGCAGAUAUCAGGAGGAACACCGGUGGCGAAGGCGGCCCCCUGGACCGGAACUGACGCUGAGGCGCGAAAGCGUGGGGAGCGAACAGG
rnacentral:rRNA from 1 species